rnacentral:tRNA from 1 species
GCCGGGGUGUCGAAACUGGUAUACGAUGCGGACUUAAAAUCCGCCGUCCGCAAGGGCAUGAGGGUUCGAUUCCCUCCUCCGGCA